rnacentral:rRNA from 1 species
AUUGAACGCUGGCGGAAUGCUUUACACAUGCAAGUCGAACGGCAGCACGGUCUUCGGGUUCGCGUCCGGGGGCCGACGGGUGAGCAAUGGAUGGAAACAUCCCAAUCUGCGGUGGAUUGGAGUUCGAAGGAGGUGCUCUUACCGCAAUACUCCAGACGGCGUACGGGGGAGAUCACAAGAUCUCGCGCCAUUGGAGUGGCCGAUGUCGCAUUAGCUAGUUGGUUGGGUAAAGGGCCACCAAGGCGACGAUCCGUAACUGGUCUGAGAGGAUGAUCAGCCACACUGGGACUGAGACACGGGCCAGACUCCUACGGGAGGCAGCAGUGGGGAAUUUUGGACAAUGGGAGCAAGCCUGAUCCAGCCAUUCCGCGUGAGUGAAGAAGGCCUUCGGGUUGUAAAGCUCUUUCGGUAGGAACGAAACGCAGGACUUUAACAUAGUCCUGUAAUGACGGUACCAGAAGAAGAAGCACCGGCUAACUUCGUG